rnacentral:rRNA from 1 species
UACAGAGGGUGCAAGCGUUAAUCGGAAUUACUGGGCGUAAAGCGUGCGUAGUCGGUUAUUUAAGUCGGGCGUGAAAGCCCCGGGCUCAACCUGGGAAUUGCGUUCGAUACUGGAUAGCUAGAGUUCGGCAGAGGGAAGCGGAAUUUCUGGUGUAGCGGUGAAAUGCGUAGAUAUCUGGAGGAACACCGGUGGCGAAGGCGGCGUUCUGGACUGCAACUGACACUGAGGAACGAAAGCCAGGGGAGCAAACGGG